CGGCAUUCCAAACGUUGUUGCUCUUUACUUUCUUAGUCUUAUUUUCCUCUCUCUAUCUCUUCUACCUCCCCUCACUCAAGAACCCAUUGCCCUAACUGUCUCUCUAUUACCAGCGGCCUACCAACUGCUUCUCCAACUGCCUUUCCUAACCAGCCAAUCCACUAAAACCCAAAAACUACCCACCAACAGCUCCCAACAACAACUAAAACCUCGGGCUAAGCCCUUUUAUACACAGGUAGGCUCCGCCUCCGGCUUUCCUAUUGGUCUAUAUUUUUAACUCUAUCUCUCCCCCCCCCCCGUUCCAACAUUUUCUAAAUGAACAGGCAAACGCCACAACCAUCAACUCUGGAGGUGGACGGCCCCCUCAAAUAUUUUAUUGGGGAGGAGGCCGAAGGGACCACAGACCCUAGGAGUUGGCUGCUGUGUCCCGUCCAAAGCUAAUAUCAGAUUCUGGCAGUGAUCUGGAAACUAAUAGCAGCAGAAACAAUCACCAAAAUCAGUGACAGAUUUUUGAGAGGGGUUGGGGAUCAGAUACCCUUUUUAUGUCCAAGUGCCUACAUUCUCUUUUUCUCUCUUUCUUAGCCUAAGUGGCAGUUUCACUUUUUCCUUUUUAUCCAGAUAUUUCCACGACAUGCCCAUACAUAAGCCCAAGGCACCACUUUAACUCGCUCCUGCUACUGUAUCUUCCAGUCCCAGAUCCAAACUGUCCCUGUCUACUUCUCCUAAAAUUACUAUGCUGCAAAAUACCACGGCAGUUGAAUUUCUCUACAAUUGAGGCAACUCGUGAGGCUGUUAAUCUGUGGACCCUUUUUGAGUUUUGUAAAUAGAUGUUGUUGGUUGUCAUUUUCAGGGCCUCUAUCAUUCUGACUGGUUUCCAGAGCCAUAAAGUUAUGGGCAGUUGCUUUGUCUCAUUAUCUCUUGGAAAAAUACAGGGUCUGCCUUUUUUUUCUUCUUCUUCUUCUUAUUGCUCCACUAACUUCUCCAAACAUUCAUUUCACUUUCAAGAAGACAGAGACAACUGAAACCAUGCAGAACCUAUAUUAACAAAAACAAGAGAAUUCCAGCAAAGUUCUAAGCGCUAAAAUAAACAAAACCCAAAUAGGUUCAACUGCUAGGAUUUUAUUUUCCCUUCUCAUUUUUCAGUUUUAUAUUGAAGAAUUUAAUAAGAAAAGCAGAGGGGAUGGGGUAAAGACACGAUUCCUGUGAAGUAACCCAUUCAGACUAAUCCUAGAAAAAUACUUUUAAGAAGACAAUGAGAGCUCUCUUGGAUCAGACCAAAGACCCACAUACAGACAUGAGGACAGCAGCAUUCUGCCUAUUAGUGCAGACCCUCCAAAUGUCCCUGCUUUCCAGGAACGUCCCUGAUUUAGAGAAGCCACCCCAGUUUCUGAUUUGAUACCGGAAUGUACAAUUUUUCCUUAUGAUGUCCCUAUUUUCACUGGAGAAAUGUUAGAGGGUAUGGAAUUAUCUGACCCCCGAGCCGUCUGAAGGCAAUCCUAUAUAGGGAAGUUUUUUUAAUGUUUAAUGUUUCAUUAUGUUUUUAUAUAUGUUGGAAGCUGCCCACAGUGGCUGGGGUAGCCAAGUAAGAUGUGUGGGGUAUAAACAGUAAAAUUAUCAUUAUGGAAUGGAAUGUCCCUAUUUUCAUUGGAGAAAUGUUGGAGGGUAGGCUAGUAAGUCCCAGCACCAGCUGGUAUUCAGUGACAUACUGCCUUCAGUACUGGAGGAACUACAGAGCCUUCACAGCUAUGGCAGUCAAUGACAGCCUUAUUCUCAAGGAGUCUAACCCCAUUUCAAAGCUAUCAGAGUUGAGGUACAUUACUACAUUCUGAGAUAGCAAACUCUGUGCACUGUAUGAAGAAAUACUUCUUUUCGUGUGUGCUGAAUCUCCCAGCAUUCAUUGCAUCCCCUCCACCAACAUUUCUCAGAUGGGAAUAAAUACAUCCUAUUCUACCCUCCAACAUUUCUCUGGUGAAAAUAGGGACAUCAAGAAGCAGGAACUUCCAGGAUCAGAUCAGAAACUGGGACGGCUUCUGUAAUUCUGGGACUCUCCCUGGAAUAUCUUGGAGAGUCUGUAUGACCCAAGGAUCAAAAACCUUUCCUUACGCACUUUCUCCACACACCAUGUAUAUUUUCAUGCACCUUUAGGAUGUCUCCUCUUACCUGACUUUAUUCCUUAGCUAAAAAGCUCCAAAUGUUGUAAACACAAAGGAAUUCUUCCAACCACUUGAUCUUUUGGGUUGCCCUUUGACUGGCUCUACAAUACCCUUUAUGAAGGUUGGGGACACGGUACCCAUGUAUGCCCAGUUUUCCAUAGAUCUGUAUAAAAGUAAUUUGAUAUUGGUGUUUUUGUCUUAAAGGUGUAGUGAGUGGCUGUAUUGCCACUGUUGGCCUCCUCCUUUUCCCUAGUCCCGCUGAUGGCAGCUGAGGCAACAGCAUGAAUACAAAUUGAAUCUCUGCACCAUUGUGAGGGCGAGUCUGGAUGUAGAAUGGCUCUCUGGAUUGGGCUAUAUCCUCCCCAUUGGUUUUCAGAGAGUUUAAAAAUGAGUACUAUGAGAGAAAAGCAUAUAGAGGAACAGGCCAUCACAACUUUAAAGAGACUGCACUAAUUAAUAUUAUCUGAGGAGAUGGAAAUCCAUGUUCAGAUCAGUUGCUUUAAAGUUACAGCACCAUAUCUGAGCUUCUUUCUUUCUUUUUUAAAGAGGGAAAUGUAUAAUAACCCAUGUGAAUGAUAUUCUGGGCUGAGGGUACGCUAUAAUUUCAAAAUAAUUGCACAUAAGCCUGGAAUCUGAGCCGUGUAUCUCUCUCAAAAGUGGAAAUUUUAUCCACUGCAUGUGGACAUUUAUUAAAAAUUAAACGGUGAUAAAUAAUUCACAAGUCGCAAAUCUGAAUGAAGUUUCACAGUUUGGGAGGAAUCUUAAGUAGCUUUUAAUUAUAUGAUUAACUGUUUCUUCCCUUCACCCCCCCCCCCCACCAAGGGCUGAAACCUCAGCUGCCUAGCCAAUUAUCACAUGGAUGUGUUUGUACUGUAUCCACCUUCUCGUGGAAGCUCAAAUUCCACCUUCUCUCUGCUAAGGGCAAGCUCCCGACUAUUACUUGUAGCAUAUGGUAGCGUUUUAUUUCAUAUUUCUAUUUAUAAAUACUUUAUUAUUACUUACAAAACAAACUUGCACAUUACACUGCAGCCUCGCUGGUUCCCAGCUAUGCAGUAACACUGCGCAUUCUUGCAUUGCGCUUGCCUCAGCAAAACGCCCAGGUACGGCAGCCAUUACUAUAAUUAUAGCCUUUUAUUAUAUCUCCAUGUGUUAAUUAUUAAAAAAAUAAAACAUGUUAUAAAAUCUUAAUUCCUUAUUAUCUUUUUACAGCUAACAGCUAGAGGAGCGUAAUGAACUUUUCGUUUUCACUCCCAGCAAUCUUAUUGCAUAUUAUAGCCAGAGCAAAUAUUAUGCUUAUGCUGAAUGGACAAUAUUUGUCAGGUUAUUUGGAAGGCUUUAAGUCUGUUGCAAAGGAAGCUAGGUUUCAACCAGGAACAUGGCCUGCUAUGAUGCUAUGAAGGCCCUAGGAGCUGAUCCAGUGUGACCCAUUUCCACAUAUAUCAGUUCCUCCCUAAGUCACACAGAGCCAAGGAACACAUUUUAAAACAACAAAUGCUACAGCCCUUCCUGAAAAGUACCAUAUAUGACUGCAGGGGGGAAGAAUGGUACAUUUGAAAACACAUUAUUUUGACGUAGGAAGAAAAAAAAUGUCAAGGAGAAGACAUUUUUCCACACUCUGCAUGCACAGUACAUAGAAGAACAGUGGUACCUCAGGUUAAGUACUUAAUUUGUUCCGGAGGUCCAUUCUUAACCUGAAACCGUUCUUAACCUGAAGCACCACUUUGGCUAAUGGGGCCUCCCGCUGCUGCCGUGCCGCGAGAGCACAAUUUCUGUUCUCAUCCUGAAGCAAAGUUCUUAACCCAAGGUACUAUUUCUGGGUUAGCAGAGUCUGUAGCCUGAAGUGUAUGUAACCUGAAGCGAAUGUAACCCGAGGUACCACUGUACAGUGGAUGCUCAGGUUGCGAACAUGAUCUGUGUGGGAUGCACGUUCGCAACCCACAGUGUGCGCAAUCCACAGCGGCGCGUCUGCGCACGUGCUGGUUGCGACUCGAUGUGUCUGCGUCUGCGCAAAGUGCAAUUUAGCGCUUCUGCGCAUGCGUGACUGCUGAAACCCAGAAGUAACCCGUUCCGGUACUUCUGGGUUUUGGCGGUCCACAACCCGAAAAAACGCAACCUGAAGCAUCUGUAACCUGAGGUAUGACUGUAGUCAAAAUGUCAAAUAUGGAGUUCCCCCUCAAGUAUCAAAUGCAGUUAUAAAAUGAAACAGGCUCGGGGUGGCUGUACUGUUUGCGGGGAGCUGAAUGUGAAGUAUAGUUUCAGCCUCACAGAACAGCCAGAUACUAUUCCCCCCCCCCCACACACACACAAGCACAGAAUAGAAUAAAAGUUGCAGAGCUCCACUCAAGGAAGGAGGAAACGAGGAACAGUGAAGCAGUACCAUACCACUUUAAAGAGUCAUGGCUUCCCCCAAAGAACCCUGGGAGCUGUAGUUUGUUAAGGGUGCUGAGAGUUGUUAGGAGCCCCCCCUUCCCCUCACAGAGCUACCCAUUCUAGAGUUCCCUGGGAAGAGGAGAGAUUGUCAAACCACUCUUUGACAGGGCUAGAGGUCUCCUAACAAUUCUAAGCACUCUUUUUUAAAAAACAAACAACUUUAAAAAAAACUACAGCUCCCAGGAUUCUUUGGGGGAAGCCAUGACUAUUUAAAGGUGUACUGCACUGCUUGAAAUGUGCAGUGGCUUCACCAUCCUUAGAGCAGACCCAACACACAAUAACUUUCUUUCAUUUCAAUGGGUCUGCUCCAUGCAAGUUUGGAUCAACCCAUAGUCAGGUUGAACCGAAACUUUCCCUGUGCCUUAUGGUUAUUGUUUCUCCUCUACGGCGCUCUGAGCACAUCAGUGGAAGAACAGGGUAGAAAAUCAUUAAGCAGCAGCACUGUCAUUAUCAUUCCUGGAAGAAGCUGAUUUGCUGAUGUAACAGGUACCAGCUGGACAGCGGUGCAGACGCACCAUCAGGAGAAUCCGAUUGGUUCUGCUGGUGCAACCAUGCAGCCCAGGCCUCUCCACCACCUCCCCUCUCCUCCUCGGGUGACCAAGUGGCAUGUAUGGGCGCUAACUGGUGAUGGGCAACCACAAGAGUCCUGCUCUCCCUUAUUGUGGUUCUUUUUCUUUCUUCUCCAAAUAGACAUGUAUCCUGUACAAUACAGACCCUCCAAGUGUCCCUAUUUUCCAGAGACAGUCCCAGAUUUACAGAAGCUGUUCCAGUUUCUGAUUUGAUUUCAGAAUGUCCCACUUUUCUUUAGGACGUCCCUAUUUUCAUCAGAGAAAGGUUGGAGGGCAAGGACUUAUGCGACCCUGGAGCCAAAUUUCUAUGCAACCUUUAGAGGGCACCUGAAGGCAGCCCUGUAUAGUUUUAUCUUGUUCUAUAUACGUUGGAAGCCACCCAGAUGGGCAACCCAGUCAGAUGGGCGCGAUGUAAAUAAAAAAAGUGGUGGUGGUGGUGGUGUUGAAUAGGACGCCCCUAUUUUCAGUGGAGAAAUGUUGCAGGGUAUGAAAAUAUAGGCAUGGCCUUUGUCAAGUAAAGCACAUGCACUCUUUGCUGGGAGUGAGUCCCACUGAAAAUAAUGGGGCUUCUAAGCAGAAUUGUGUUGUCAGUAGCUUUGUAUACAAUGCUAUUGAACUACAAACCUUACUGUAUGCUUGUGAAACAUGGACCACUUAUAAACACCAGCUCCAGCUCCUUGAAAGAUUCCAUCAACAGUGUCUCUGAAAAAUUUUACACAUCACUUGGGAAGACAGACAAACUAAUACCAGUGUACUGGAAGAAGCAAAGAUCACCAGUGUUGAAGCAAUGAUUCUUCAACAUCAACUUCGUUGGAUUGGACAUGUUGUGUGGGUGCCUGAUUAUCACCUUCCAAAGCAACUACUCUAUUCCGAACUUAAAAAUGGAAAGCAUAAUGAUGGUAGUCAACAAAAGAGGUUGAAAGACUGUCUCAAGGCAAAUUUUAAAAAAUGUACUAUAAACACCAACAAUUGGAAAACACUUCCCUGCAAGCGCUCCAUUUGGAGAACAGCCUUUACCAAAGGUGUAAUGGACUUUGAAGACACUCAAACUCAGGAAGCAAGGGAGAAAAGUGCUAAGAGAAAGGCACACUUGGAAAGCGUGUUCUCCUUCAUGGAGAGCACGUGUUGCGGUGGGGUCUGCUGAGGUGGGGUCUGUUACCAGGCAGGGUCUCUAAAGAUGGCCUGGGGCAGUGAUUGGUUCACUGGGUUGCUGGGGUAAAAGUUAUGUUGCAAUUUUGGUGGGAGGGGUAAAAUGUUUAAAUACUCUGCACGCAGCCUGGAGCUUUCUCUUUGCUGCGUGCAACGGAUCACCCGCCCACCCGCCCUUGAGUAAGGGGUUGUUGCAUUGACCUUGCUAUGCCUGUCAUGGGGUCGUCUGCCGUUGGGGCAGGGGCCUGGUAGGAAUUUUGUCCAUCUGGCUGAUUGGCUGGGCCAUUUGGUUUUUGCCUACUGCGUAGCAAAUCGUCACAACUUGUAAGGUUGUGGUUAGGCAUUGGUUAUAAAUUGGUGGAGGAGGGGUUAGGAUAGGCUGGGCCUGCCCCUCCAUGGUUGCUGCGGAAAGGGAAUUCCGUUAAAGGAAUCCUGGGGCUUGCCAUCUUUUCGUCCAAUCCCUGGAAUGGGACUAGGGCCGGCAAGCCUUCGGGGAGCAUGCGGAUGAGAAUUGAGGGUCUGUGGCCCAGCUCCAUUUUCUCCGACUUGCUUUCCCCCGCACUGUCUUUCGGUGGUGCCCGGAAGUCAGUUCUGUCCCCAGGCGGGGGACAGAUAGUCUUAACCAAUGCCUAAACAACCACUCACGGUUUUGUAUUUAAAUAAAGUUGUGGCCAAAAUUAUGCCAAAAACCUUAAACAAAAAUUAAGUGUGCGUUGUGAGUUAUUUGGGGGGUGGCUUGGGGACCUCGACACGCAAAUCCACACCAUGAACAACUCCCGCCUGGAAACCAAUGUUCCCACAGUGGAAGGACACAUGGAUCCAGAAUUGGCCUCCACAGUCACUUACGGACUCAUUGUUAAAACCGUGUUUAUGGAAGACAAUCUUACUUGGCUACGAGUGAUUGCAGAAGAAGAAGAAGAAGAAGAAGAAGAAGAAGAAGAAGAAGAAGAUACAAAGUUCCUUUUGCUGUAACGGCACAAGCUUUUUUUUUUCUUUUUACCAAGUAUUGCUGAAGCAACUCCAUAGGACCAGGUUAUUCACAUCCAUUAACAUAUUGGAGUUAAUGACCCCCUCUUGCUGUAGUUUAAGCUCCAGAGACUUUAGCCGAAAGAGUUUGUAGCAUGAAGAGCAUCGUCCUCUAGAAGAACAGAUUGUGGUGUAAACAGCUUGUGAUGUAUAUGGUCUUCUGCCAAAGUGGGAGUCAUUGCUUGUCCCCGUGUUCUUGUUUGCGUGACCCUCCACACAAGAAUGAAGAUAUAUAGCAUUCUGUCUCCCUCGCCAGGUGGGAAGCAGGUGGUGUGCCUCGGCCAUAUGGGGUGACAGCAGCAUCUCUCAAUUAAUACUUGAAAAUGAAUAAAUAGAAUGUUUUAAUAAAUGUUUCAGUAGUUGUAAUAGAAAGGGGGGGAAAGGCUUUAAGAAGCUAUUAUGUCUGGGGCUCUUUUGUUACAGUGGAAUUGAAAUGACUUCCUUCCAUUUGAAUUUGUUUUCAUGAGCGUUAAGAAGUGCUUUCUGCUCCCCCCGUUAUUCAGCCUUUAUGACAAACAUAUUCACACUGUUUUUGGCACUGUUCUCAGAGUCCUCUUCCUCCUUCUUUGCUGUCAUGCUCCUCAGCUUCAUUUGCCCACGCUUCAAGUUAAUCCAAUUGGCCUGUCACAUUUUGUCCAUAGCAUGACAAUGUUACUACAUGGAUGAUAUAUCACAGAUCUUCAUCAACAAAAUCAUGGUUGCUGCCAUGGCUGGAAGGCGUGAGCAUUCUUGUGGAAAUUGAAGUAAGGCCCAAAACAUGUUGCUGUUUGAGGUGGAGCAACAAAUGGCACACAUACAGAGAGUGAGCGGGGCUUCCACAAAUAAUCCUGGGAACUGUAGUUUGCAAAGGAUGCAGAAAGUUGUCAGGAAAUUCCUCUUCCCUUCAGAGAGCUGCAAUUCCCAGAGUUAUCUGGGAAGAGGAAUUGAUUGUUAAACCACUCUGAGGCUUGAAGAUCUGUGAGGUAAACAGAAGUCUCCUAACAACUCUCGGCACCUUUAACAAACCAGUGUUCGCAGGGUGUUUUGGGAGAUGCCAUCACUGUUGAAGUGUAUGAAUGAUUUACAUCUACUGUGUGGUUUUGGCCUCAGUUUCUAAUUUUUCCAGUCUUAAGUUGUUUUCCACGUUUCCACAUAGAUUUACAUUUUUUCAAAGUCCUUCUGAAGAUUCUUAUUUUAUUUAUUAUUUGUUUAUUUUAUUUAUUAUUAAAUUUGUAUACUGCCCUAUAACCGCAGACCUCAGGGCAGUUCAUCAACAUUUAAGUGCAAAUUUCUCCUAAAAUAUGCAUUUAUGUAUCUAAUUUUGUAUACUAUACACAUUUUUUGCAAUGAAAUUUCCCCUAAGGUGAUACAUAUUUGUGUUGUUGUUAUUUGUAUACCGCCCUGUACCCACAGGCCUCUGGGCAGCUCACAAGAUUAAUUAAUUAAUAUAUGAACAUUAUUAAUAUAUCCUGCUGCUUCCCUUCUCCCCAGCCUCCAGUGCAAAUGAAGCUGAAAGAGCAGCACCAGUGAUAGGUGUGAAGUGGCAGCAAAGCAGGAAGGUUGCUGGGCAGAUGCCCUGGCUUGUCCUGCCUGUUCCUCUGAGGCUCACCUGCCUCCCUCCACUUGCAUGCCUGGGCCACCUGCCUGCUGUUCCGUGGUCAUGCUGCAGUUCACAUGACCGUCUAUUGUUAGCCAUGAAAACUGCAGCGUGACAACAUCCUUACAUUUGCAUGUAUAUAGGAGGGAAAUUGUGGCCCUGGUAUAAAUCCAUUACUCACACCUCAUGUCUUCAUGGAUGUGGCAGGAAACACUGAAGUGACCUCCGGCAAACACAGUUGCUGCCUGAAAUGGAAAAUAGGUCUGGGACUCCUUAAACUGUCCCAAGAAUUCCCUCCCUGAUUUGUAUAUCAGUAAUAUACAUGCGUGAAUCCUUGUGAUGCAUUUUUGUGUGGGUCAGGGAAAGGACAAAAGUAGUUUGAAAGAAAAGUAGGGAACAAUAUAAAAUAUUAUUAUUAUUGAAUAAACACACAUUUUUGUAUCAGUUUCCCCACUGAAUGAGUCAUGAUGGAUGAAAUAAAAUGGCAGGGGGCAGCCUGAAGAUGUAAUGUGAGAGAGGGAAAAUUGCUUAGAGAGUAUCUGAGAUAUCACUAGUUGCUAACUCAGAAGCUCCUCUGUUUAGUGUCUAACAAGAUAUCCUGGUUUGCUCUAACAAGUACUCUGUAGAAACCACCAUACCUGCAUCUACAGGAGCCUCGUCUCAUAUAGGUCAUUUAAAACGGAACUUGGCAAAGGAUUGAAACAAUAAUCAUUUUUAAAAAUGCCACAGGGAAUAUUGCUAUAUUAGCAAAGAAAUGCACUAAAUGACCUAUAAGGGAUUUUCCAUCUCUAACUUCUGUUACUAGAGCUGUAUUGUUGCUUUAUAAUGUAGUUUUCAAGUACAAUCUGGUCCCUAUAGAAAAAUAAUUAAUGGAAACAAGUAUGAGCUCUGGAGCAAUAUGUUAUUGUUAACAUUAAUCUUCAAGUGAAAGGAAAACAGUAUUAGCUUGUUUGUAAAGAAAAUCUUUAAAAAAGGAAAAGAAAAUUUAAAGCCACAUGUCUUUAAAAUGAAUUUUCAAGGUAACCCCUACUGUGGUGUUAAUAAAAUGGGGUGCCUGGGAAGAAGUGCCCUCUUUUCCUUGCAGAGAAUGUUAACAGUGGGUGAAACCAAUAAGAUGGUGAGAGAAGAGGGCUGAACCAGAUGGUACAGCCCUAACCGUAACCAGAGAAAACUUUAUUUGUUUAUUUUUAUUUCAGAAGAUUUUUAUUUCAGAAGAUUUCCAUACUGAUUGACUGUAAGCAAAACAAAGUGGUUUACAAAAAGGAAGGAGGAACCAUUUGUACUGUAUCCUUUCAUGGCACACCAACCCAAUAUGAUGGGACUCGCAGAAGAUUGCAGCUUCUUUUUCCAUUACUAUAGAAGCCGUAAGACGAGGUUGGUUUCAAUGACUCCUGUCCUCCCGCAGGACAUCAGUCAUUUGCACAAGUGAGCAAGCAGCAGUAAUGUCUACAUGAUCACAACGUUGGUGCUGCAUUUGGGCAGCAACUGAUGUGACCCAGCCUUCAGGGAGGAAUGGAGCCAAAGUCUCACUUGGGGACAGGACUGCAGCUGUUUUUGAAUACAGAAGGCCCAAAUUUCAAUUCCUGGCAUCUAAACAUAGGAGCGGUGCCUGAAACCCUGGAGAUUUUUUUGCUAGUCAGAGUAGACAAUUCUGAGGUAGGUAGAACAUUGGUCUGACUUGCUGGAAGUUCCUAUGUUUGUAAGUUAUUGGUUCAUGUGUUCUGGCUUCAGAGUUGUCAGCAAUCCUGGGUUUGUUUCUUUAAAACACGAUUCCCCCCCCCCCACUCAGAAAGACAUUUACAGGAAGAAGUGUGCUUUUGAUUCAAAACAUCAAGAGAAGGAACAGAGGGAGGGGGAGGCUCUCAAUAAUUUAAGGCAGUCUCCUCAUUUGAUAACCAUUCUCUCUCUAAUCUCUUGAACUUCAGGACCAGAGAGUUUGAGCAAGGCUCUGGCACCAAGUCAGGAAAUGAGACAUCUGCAGUGGGGCGGGGGGGGGCAGGGGCUGGAAUCCAGAAGGCAGACUAUUAACCAAGCCAUAUUUUCCAUAGAAACUGGUUUUUCUCCUCUUCUGAAAUGCAGAAUUUAGAAAAAAUGGCAUUAAGCUGCUACGACAUGUCUCUGCCUACAAGGAAUGUGCACACUGCUCAGAAAGAAAUUUGACCAUUGUCAAUUCAUAGUUCUCUUUCCAUCGUACUGGGAAACUAGAAAAGCCAGGAUCCCAUUAAAAAUUGUUUCAGGACAACAGCAAGAGAAACAGGAUCAAAAAUGCCUCUGUGCAAAAAUGCCCCCCCCCCCCAAAAAAACCCCGCAUCAUACCAAACCUAUUUGCACCCUUCUUAUAUUUCCUCCUGUCUCUUCUGAGGCCAGGUAACCUCUUUUUUCCCUUCUCCAUGGGCAUGCUUAACUGAUUCAGUAAGUAAUAGAGGCCACCUGCUUUAAAAGUCUGCUGUGCUAAGAAUCUCCAUCUGCCUUCUCACAAAACCUGGUAAACCCGGGAGACAGGAUUUCUCAUUAUCUCUUCAGAGCUUUUCUGUUCCAGAUUCCACACAAAAAAAAGUAUUCCGAAUUCGGGUAUCUCCAAAAAGUGAGGGGGUUUCUUUUUUUUCCUCCUUCAGAGUCAGCACUGGAUUUCCAGACCAUCACCUGAGUGACUCAGGAUCCCGGCAGAAGCACCUCCCUCUGUAUGCGGGUGAAGUCUCCUGAAUCAAAAGUAGUCCACCUUUCUUCCUGAUCGUAAUUUUCCUCUCUUUUUUUCAUUCCUAUUAAGCUGCAUGACAUCCUUGUAGCUACUGCUUGAAUAAAAGAAGUGUUAUCCUCGUUUUCAACAUGACCUAGCAGCUAGGGGGGGAAACGGUUCCAGCAUCCAAGGAAUGGCAGCUAUUCAGUACUGAUCAGUAGCACCUUUAUGGGCGAGGGUGUGAGAACAGAUAACAUUUCACAAGCAUCUUUCAGAGACAGAGAGCAAGGCAGAGCAGCUAUAUCUCUGGUUUAACAACACAUCUCCUUGAUGGAGUGUGUAAGAACCAUAUUAAAAUACUUUUGCAUUAUAUUUUAUGCUAAGCAUGCUAGCCACAAACUAUAUGGGCCACUGGAUCAUUCUAAAAGAAGGCACAGGAUCGAAGAGUCAAAUGCACCUUUCUAUAUCACAGAGGGAGAAAGUCCAAAUUGGCAUGGCUUUCUUCCCUAGGCAGGAAACUGCCACAAACAUAUGGACAAUGGGUGGUUUUCUGGCAAUACGCCUCUUGUUUCUGAAGCUCCUACAAUAAUCUUCAAGGAGGCCAGAAGGCUGAAGGUGGAUUGAUUCUUGUCCUUGGGCUACUGGCUGCCAGUUGCCACCCCAGACAUUCAGGCAAAUCAAAUCCUGCCCAUUGUGUUAUUUCCAAUUAAACACAAUUAGAGGCAAAGCCUGAGAAAUACAUUCACAGGUUCCUGGCAUCUCAGCAUGCGGAUCUCAGAUCAGUGAACCAAAGCGACCUGAUUACAGUCCAGCAUCACAAAGUCACGAAUGAGGAACUUUGCACUGAUAGUCACUGGGUUCAAUCCAGGCUUUUCUCUCAGCAAAUGGAAGGGUGCUUUCCAUUUGUGGAGGGAACCAGGAACCAACACAGUCUCACUGGUAGAGGAUGGUGUGGUGUGGUUAUUUUGAUCAGCCCCCUCUUACCCCCUUCGGCCCAUAGCACCACCUACACACCAUUCCAGAAAGUUCUCCAACCUUCUGAAGCGGCAUUUUGGGGUGGGAUGUGGAACAGAGGGAGCUGCAGAACUCCUUGGCUCAGUACCCAAUAUCAUUUGAAUGCAUGUUCAUGUUAAUUUAUCUGCUUUAUACGCAGGGACAUGUUUGAUUUUAUUCAUAAAACUUUGUGCAGGACUGAAAUGCACCUCAGACAUUAAAGAAUGAAACUCUGCAAUACAGACGCAGAGAUGACAGGCAUAUGAAGACAAAGAAAGGAAAUCUAUUUUACAUAUAAAGAAAGGAAUGGAACUAAAAUGACUUCAGACAUGUCUGUUUCUAUUUCAUAACGUUUGUCCUGGAGCUUUAGAAGAAGAAGAUGAAGAAGAAACUAUUACAGAAAGGGGCCAUCGAAGAAGAGCAAACCUUGUAACCUUUGAGGCCUCAGAUUCCUAGCAGAAAGCCCUGCACUGAGAUUGUGUUUUAAUGAAAAACAAGCACUGGGGGUAUUAAACACACCCAGCAUCCCAAUACGGACUCCACAUGUAUCUCUCUUUAACAUUGACAUUUCCUGAAUUAAAUCUUCCCUGAAGCAAAGAAAUCGGGACGGAGGAGGGAGCUGUGAGGAGCUUUCAGCAAAGCUUCACAGCUGGCUCCGAAUGAGUUGCAAGAAUGACACGUUCCUAAAGAAUGUUUGACGAGGUGAGGUGGAAAGGAGGUGGAAGCGUGAAGUCAAAUGUGCACUGCUGCCUUCUCUUUCCAAAGCAGAGCCAAUGUUUUCUCUACCAGAGCACCUGCCUAGAUGCCAAGGGUCACAUGGCUUGGGGGCAGCACAACUCCCACCAUGUCCUGAACCCACAAGAGCUUAAGCUCUGGUGGGGGGCAAUGGUGAACAUGCAAGCCCCACCUUCCAACGUUCCCACGUGUAAUCAACCCCAUGUGCGUUUACUCCAACCAGGGAUGGGGGGAGAUUUGAGUAAGCUUGCUUUGGGGGGCAAGCCUAUGAAACAGACACUUUCCGACACGAACUGAAACACAGCCAUCCUUCAGAGUUCAUCCUUCAAGCUGCACACAUAAGGGCAGCUAGGACUGGAACAACGAGAAACUGGGAGAACCAAAAUUGACAAAUUAAUCCAUCCCUGACACCAACCUUUCCAUACUGAGUUGGGAAUGUCUUCAAGGGGCUUUUGCUUGUGUUUGGCUGAACAUCAGUAGAAAGCCUGCACCAUUUUAUUGGCGUCCUUUGCCACAUGGAGGGCUCUCUUUGUGUCCAAGCAAUCAUGAAACCACUCAGUGUGGGAAGGUCAGGGGGUGAGUGGGUAAGACCAAUGCAUAUAUGUUCCCCUGCCCUCCUUCACAGGCAAAAGCCUGUAGACCUACAGACACCACUGUUACUGCAAAAAAUGGAAGUCAGUUAAGAAAUCUUCUUUUCGUUUUAAACUGUUUUGCAAUAACAGUCACGCCAUGAUGUCAUGUCACCACUAAAGGAUGGCUCUUGGAAUGCUUUCUCUAGAUGCACACAUGUGAACAGUGUUUGGUCACCCACACAGUUUUCUAACAGUUAGUAACCUAUCACCUGAUGUCACCUCAAAAGCAAUGUGCUGACAUGGGGUCAUAUCACGCCCUGAACUACCAGUCGCCAAGGGCAGAUUGAUUGGGUUUUUAAAAAGCAAUUGAUAUGCAUGCAUGUAUGAACCAGUCCUUAGUGUCCUUUUCACAUUUCUUUGACUGACCCAGAAAUUAAAAUGCAUGUUGGAUAAAGAGAGAGAAAAGGGUUUUUUGCGGGGGGGGGGUGUUUGCUGCUGAUAUGAAUUGCUUUAAGAACCAAGGGGAUAUCUCUUUAGCUUAGCACGCAAAUGUGUUAGAGCUGGGCUGGUACAUUAUGCUGCUUCAUAGUGGAUGUAUCCAAAAGAUUCCCACAUGGCCAUUCAAAUACUACACUGCUCAUGAUUUUCCCAAUGCAACAAUUAAGCCUGAAAAAUACAAUAUUUGACGCAAGCCCUGGCAAGAAUAAUGAGUUGAAAUGAGAAUAAUGAGCUAUGUUAGAGGCUAUUUUUGAGGAAUGGUAUGGUAGGAGAGGGACUGUGGCUCACCAGUCGAGUGCUUGCUUUGCAUGCAAAGGAUCCCUGGUUUAAUUCCAACUAUCUCUAGGUAGGGCUGGGGAAAGACUCUUACCUGAAGCCAUGGAGAAUCAUCAAUGUCAACAUUACUGACCUUGAUGGCCAGUGACUUAGUAUAAGUUAAUAUCUCUUUUCUCCAAUUGCCACUUCAAUAGCCACAAAGAAUUACUGAAGGCAAUAGUCGGAGUGUCUGCUGUCCUCCACUCCCCAAAAAUAAGCAGAGGAAGGGUCUUAAUUUUUAUCCAUAAUUCUUGUAUUUACUUAUCCACUCCCCCCUUUUUUUAAUUCUUCAACACGGUUCACUCAAGCCUUGGAAAUAUAAUCACUUGAUGAACGGUAGUGUAAAAAGGCACAGCUUCCUCCUUCCUCCUCAGCCAGAGCGAACAUUUAUUCAACUAGGCAACCCUUGCUGGCUUGACGUUUUAUCAAACGGUCACAGCAUAGCAAAUGGCAGUGUGCAAUAUGAAUGAUUAAACCUUUCUAAUUAUUUCAGGGUUUACCAUAUCCUGCCCAUCUAAGCCUGCUUUAAUUGAAGGACAAAAAAGAUCUCUAGUUGAUAAUAUAUAGUCUUCAAUUGGCAGAUAAUUAUCAUACGCCGUUCUGGGGAGAGUUCUUUGUAAAUCUCAGCAUAUGUCUUUAUGUUAAACAAUUAAACUACAUCUGGAUACAGAGAGCAGAUCAGCUCAUCCCUUGGUGGGCUAUGUAAAGAAAUGGAUUCAUUGGUCAGACGACCCGAAAAAGAAGAGAGAGAGAGAGAGAGAGAGAGAGAGAGAGAGAGAGAGUUAUAACCUUGGAUGGAAUAGAAUUUGGAGAUUAAAAAAUGAGCAGGUGUUUGGAAGCAAAUUCCCAUAAUGAAAUACGUAGUUUUAAACUGGCAAGGGCAUUUAAGCAAUAAUGAGGAGAUGUCAUACAUUUUAUGCAAAAGCACCGGAGGGAAAGACUUUGCUACAUGAAAUCAUAGACGCACUGAGAUUCUCCAAACUUAAGCAUGUAGCCUCAGGGCCUCUGCAUUCAGCAUAGUUUCCCCUGGAAGUACAAUGGCCCUGGAACUGGAAGGAAAUACUUAGGACUUGUACAGGGGCGAGACUUUGCUGUUUUCGAAAGUCACUUUUGGGUUGCAAGGCUUAUAUCUGCCUCCUCUUUGGGCUGGAGUAAGUGAGCUUACCUGUGCUCAGGCUGGAGAUUGCCACUGCUGGCGAUGCUCCACCCAUACCAUCCUAAUGUUGUUAGAAUAACGAAUAGCUUGGACAUCUACCAGACAGUAUAUAAUAAUAAUAAUAAUAAUUUAUUAUUUAUACCCCGCCCAUCUGGCUGGGCUUCCCCAGCCACAUGCCUACCAAGUGUCCCGAUUUUGCAGGGACAGCCCCAGAAUUACAAAAGCCAUCCCAGAUAUGAUCCUGAAAUGCCCCUAAUUUCGUCCACCAUUGCUGCUGCCUAGCUCAAGGAGGAAGAUGAGCUGUCACUUGUCCUGAGUGACAGCGGCAGUGGAGGUGAUGAAGAGGGAGCAUUCCAGUAUCAUUUUACAUGAGCAUAUCAUCCCAGUUAUCUUUAUAAUUUCCAUCUGUUCCCAUAUCUUUCCAACCAGUUUCUCAGCACCCAGCUCUGCUUCCAUAGUUUAGUGAACAGUAUCCUUGCUAUACAGUAGUUAAUAGAUACAAUACCUUUGUUUGAUGCAUUUUGAUAUUCCAAUUACUUUGGAAGGCAUAAUCAAGACUCUGCAUUUAUCUGAACCUGGGACAUUCCUUUAAUCAUUAUUACCAUUUGCCAGUAUGCUUUAGCCCUCUUACAACCCUUUGUUCUCAUGGCAUAUCCAACAUUUGUUGUUUCCUGUUUUAUUUAUCUUUUUAUUCUUCAGUGGGGUCCAGUUCCAUUGUACUGCCAUUUUUAUGCAGUUCUCCUUGCAUUACACUGCUGUCAAAAAGUUUGAACCCUUCUUGAAUAAGAAAUCCCACCCUUCCCUUGGUAUCUCAUAUUGCAUACUUUUGUUCCAUUUUAUCUUAUAAUUAUACACUGUUUUACUGUGUUCCUCCCUCCCCUGCAAUAGUUCCGUAGAUUUAUGAAAUUUUCCGUUUUGGGGUUUUUCCCCCGUAACAACAUCUCAAACUCUGCCUUCUCUUCCCAAAUCUCUUGAUUAUUUAUCAUUUGAUUCACAAAGGAUCUAAUUUGUAGCUAUUGAUAAAUAGAUGGCACUUUCUACAUUUUUUCUUUCACGUUCUCAAAGGUUUGUAUACGCUUCCAAUCCUGAAAGCAUUCUAGCUUAUUUUCUUUCCACAGUUGGAAAUUUCCCAAUCUUCCCUCUGAGUUAAAUCUUUCAUCGUCUGUAACAAAGCUAACAGGGAGGUUUUGGGCUGAUAAAACUUCCUUAUAACAGUUCCAGGUUUCCAAACAGAUGUUUAUUUCACACAUUAUCUUUUCCCAUUCUGCCACCACCACUUUCGAUCUAGGUACUAACCAAGUCUGUUUCUUUUUUCCCAAAAUGAAUGGUUUUUACUUAAGGGUUCAGAAAUACAUCAAGCAGUUUCUAAGAAAAUUAUUUUAGGGGGGCGGGGACUGAUUUUGCAAUCAAGUGGUUACCCAUAGGAGCAAAUUAAGAAACAAACAGAUGCAUUCAGCUGUAUCUAUUCUAGACAGUUAGGUUUCUGGGUCUGAACCAAUUCUGAAAUGUAAAUAAAGUUUUGGGGAGCACAUUCAUUUUUAUGAUGUUUAUUUUCUCAAGUAGUUAACCAGACACUUGUAUAGGUUCCUUCCUAUUUGCCCAGACAUUGUAGAUGUCAGCUAUUCUCAACCUGUGGGUCCCCAGAUGUUGUUGGACUACAACUUCCAUCAUCCCUGAGCUCUAGCCUUGCUAGCUAGGGGUGAUGGGAGUUGUAGUUCAACACAUCUGGGGACCCACAGGUUGAGAAAGGCUGCACUAAGUUAUACUCACUGGAGUUGGCCCGCCGAAAUCAAUGCAUGUACAUCCAUAGAUCUCAAUGCGUCUACUCUGAGUUUGGCUUAUGUUGGAUUACUACCCAUUAAAUGUAUAUGUUACAGGAAGUUUCCCCAAACCUUUAAGAAAUACUUUUUAAAAAUAAAGACUUCUGCUCUAAACUAGUCUAUGAGCUGAUACACAGAGGCAUGUUCAGCACUUGAUGGCUGAAGAAGAAAAAAUAGUGACUCACUAUUUUGUCAGUGAAUCACCACUGAUCAAAUACAAUAAACAGAACUUUCUUAUUAUCUCGUGUCAACUCAGCCACAAUGCUUUUCCGUGUAUGUCGCCCACAGGUUUAGCUGUAUAUGAUUCAAGUCCUGAAUUAUCAAGUAAUGAAGAAAGGUCAUAGGCGUAAACAUUUGAACUUGCCUGUUCCCUAAAGAGCAUAUGGAUACUCCUCACUGUCCGACUCUGUUGGAAGAAUAUAAAAGAGGCAUUUCUCAUCUGAGAAGAGACAGGUGCUUUUUUAAAAGAGUUUCAGAUCUAAUGAAGUACAUCAGAAAGAAGACAAUAAAUAGGAGAAAGAAUGGAAUGACAGUGUGACAAGGGAAAGGAAGGAAGGAAGGGACCUAUGUGGAAUAAAUGAAAAAU